rnacentral:tRNA from 3 species
GCACUCAUAGCUCAGCAGGAUAGAGCGUCGGUUUCCUAAACCGCAGGCCGGAGGUUCGAGUCCUCUUGAGUGCACCA